CCCGAGCCCAGAGGUGCAGACCUCAUUAGCUCUCAGAAAGUGGGUGCAAAACUUGGCAAGUCGGGUCUGUUUUUGUCCCCUUCCAGAUGUCUAGAUUUCUCUUCCUGCCCUCACCCUCCGUUCUGAGUCACACCUGGGCUUCUCGGGUGAUGGCAGGAAGCGAGACCCUCCCAGGGAUUUGAAGACACGCUGGCUCUGCAGGUGCAACAGAGUCAGGCCCCAGGUUCUGGACUCCAUCCACGCCUGUGUGUUAUCUGGUGACCCUGCAGCCUCAGAGCAAAGUGAUACAUUCAUACAUUUCAUUAUCAGGAGGGAAGAUACUGGAAAAAUACCAGUAUUGCUUUUUUAGGAGCAGUGCUUUUAACUUCAUCUCAAGCUGUUCAUGUUAUUUUGGGGUUAGCUGAAGACACAGACACAAGGACCCAGGCUGCUGGUGACCGGGGCAGAAGAAAGGAAGGAGCCUGGGGAGUCGUCCCCGCAGCACGUCUGACCGUGUUCACUGCAAGACAGGAAUGCUGUGUAAGACAUGAGGGCUGCAUCUGAGCUCCGCGGACAUCAUCCCUCCUCCCUCCCCAGGCAUCGCGCUCGGGGUGCUCCCCCGCCUCCCUGGUCUCCACGCAGCCCCUUCGGAGCGUCCACGUCUCCCCCGCCUCCUGACUUGGGAGGGUGCCGGCUCUCCUUUUAACUCUCUCCUCCUCCUUGGCGAACCCAGCCGGUCUCGUGGCUUUAGAAGCACCUAGGGCUGGCCACCUCACGUCCAGAGCUCCAGCCCAAAGUCCCUCUGACUCCAGACACACGGGAAACUCCCCAAGUCGACAUCUCGGAGUUCCUGUGGCCGCAACCGCAACCGGGCUCUCAGUCUCCCCGACGGUUUCUCCCCGCCUCCAGGGCCGAGGCCAAUACCCUCGGGGUCGUGCUUCACAUCUGCUUCUCCCAACCCAUACCUGGCUCACCAGCGAGUCCUGCUGGCUCUGCUCUGAAGCUCAGUCCAGUGUCCUGCCGCUUGGUGUCCCCUGCACUGCCGCCCGGGCUAGGCCACGGCUCGGCUCACCGCUGCGUCCUCGCCGCCUCCGUGCUCUGCCUCUGCUGUUGGCCUCGCAGGAGAAGCCAGAGGGGACGGACACGGCGCUCCCUUCGCUCACCCCCCUGCGGGCUUGGCCCAAAUGUCACCUCCGCGGUGCCGCUGCUCGGACCAUCGCACGGGAGACGCAACGCCCCGCCCCCGCGCCCCUCCCACACCGGGGGCGCCCUCCCCCAGGAGGGGAGGGGUGGGGUCCUCGUGUUCAAGGCCUGACGGCCUGGUGAGCAGCCCAGGUGCUCUGCCGCGGACGGAGCUUUGCUGCUUUUGAAGGCUGGCCCCUCACACCUGCAGGUGGUGGCCUGAACAGCAGGUCCUCAGGGACCGUCCCAGAUAGAUGAGGGUCCCCACCCCCUCACUGCUGGCGGUCAGGCCUCUCCUUCAGAGCCGCUGUCUCGGCUCUCACGCCUCAGAAUCUGCUCCCUGGUUGCCUGUCUGCCUCCCCCAGCCCUGAGCCCAUGGCCUGGUGCUGGCUGCAUUCUGCGCGGUGUUUGCGGUCCGCGGCAGCGGCCUGCGGAGACUGGAUGCUUGCUAGAUUUUGGUUGAAUGAACGUAAAACACAUUUUAUGUGUUACCUUAUUUGAUGUGAGGCUCAGAGAACUUGAGUGUUUGGCCUGCAGACACAGAACUAGAUGGAGGAGCCAACCUUGAAGUUAGGUCUGUCUGACGUGUGUGUUGCGUGUUUGUGUGUAUUUGCAAGUAUGUGUGUGUAUGUGUGUGUUGUGUGUAUGAGUGUGGUGUGUGUUUAUGUAUGUUGUGUGUGUUGUGUGUAUGUGUGUGUUGUGUGUAUGUGUGUGUAUAUGUGUAAGUGUGUGAAUGUUGUGUGUGUGUUGUGUGUAUAUGUGUGUUGUGCAUAUAUGUGUGUUGUGUGUAUGUUUGUGGUAUGUGUGUGUAUGUAUAUGUGUGUGUGUUGUUUGUAUGUGUGUGUAUGUUGUGUGUGUGGUAUGUGUAUGUGUGUUGCGUGUGUGUUGUGUGUAUUGUGUAUGUUGUGUGUUGUAUGUUUGUGGUGUAUGUGUGUAUAUGUGUGUGUGUAUGUGUGUGGUGUGUAUAUUUGUGUGUAUAUGUGUAACUGUGAAUGUUGGGUGUGUGUGUGGUGUGUAUGUGUGUGGUGUGUAUAUUUGUGUGUAUAUGUGUAAGUGUGUGAAUGUUGUGUGUAUGUGUGUGCAUGUGUGUGUAAGUGUGUGUGUAAGUGUGUGAAUGUUGUGUGUAUGUAUGUGUGUUGUGUGUGUUGUGUAUGUCGUGUGUGGUGUGUGUCUGUGUGUGGGGUGUGUGUGUUUUGUGUGUGCAUGUUGUAUGUGUGUAUGUAUGUGUAUUUUGUGUAUGUUAUGUGUGGUGUGUGCAUGUGUGCGUGUGGUGUGUGUCUGCGUGUGUUGUGUGUGUUGUGUGUGUGUGUAUAUUUGUGUGUGUGUAGGGGGGAUCUGUGCGCUUUCUCCCGGCCGCACUGCACAGGCAGCAGCACCCCCUGUGUGGAGGCCAUCUGCGGCUGGUGCUCUGGUUCCCCGGUGACAGUAAACGCUUCCAGAAGAGACCAGUCCUUCUCCAUCCUUCAAGUUUCUUUCUCAAGAAACCUCCUUCUGGAGGCCCCGACGCCCUGGACUGCCACUACUGCCUGCUGCCCUCUCAGCCCUGCCAAGCCCAUGGCUUCCCAGGGGACAAAGGGCUAAAAGUCCCUUUGGACACAGGGUGCAUGGCCUUGGGAGUCUGGGAGUGUUGCGGGGACACGUGGCCACCUGAGCCACCUCCAACUGUAGGAUCCACCCUGCAGGUCCCGUGGCCCAGCGCGAGCAGCUGCCCUCGGCCCGCGUGCGAGCCCACCGUGGGCACAGCUGAGGGGGCCCAACGGUCCCCCUUCCUUCCCGCCACAGCAGGUGUCUCGCUCACAUCUGCGUCCCACAAGGAUGCGCCACUCUUUCCUACAGGAGGGGCGCAGGUGAGGAGGGAGCACAUGGGGGGCUAUUUAGAAGCCGGUGGGGAGAACGUGGGGCCCCUGCCUGGCCAAGGCAGGGUGUCCUGACCCCUGACCCUGACAGACCGGGAAGACGAGCCCCUCGCGCCGGGCCCACGGCCAGACCCAGAGGUGCCCCAGCAGCCCGCCAGCAGCGCCCACACUGGCGGCCUCCCCGGCGGCCCCGCCCCAGGCCUCCUCUUCCCCUCCGUCGGCCGUGGCUGCCAGGCCCAGCGGCUUUUGCACCGGCGCUUGUUCACGAGAGGGUGGCUGCCCCUCCCAGGGGCCCGGGGUCAGGGAGGUGAGAGGUCUUGCCCGGGACCCUGCGCCAGUCCUGACAGCACCCACUGGGUCUUUAGACCUUGUGUCUGGACCAGGCAACUUCCACGUCUGCGCUCCCCCGAGUGGGAGCCCCCCAGGUCCUCAGACAGAACACAGAGGCGAGCCCAGCCCGCGUCAGACGCCGGCCGCCCCGCCUCUGCUCCCCGCAGGCCUGCGCCUGCCAGCCCAGGCCAGACCCUUGCGGGCCUCUGCACACACCUCGCCUGCCCGCCGCCGCAGGUGGCGAUUUGCAUGGGCGCUCUAACUCUCCCAUGAGGCUUUUCUUAUCUGAGUUUCUUUUCUGCUCCUGGGAGCCGAACAGCCACUUUAAAAAGAAAGAAAAACAAGACCCCAGUAAGUCUCUGCUUGGACGCGGGCCUUAAGGUGUUUCAAAGCCUCCCACGGCUAUUUCUGGCCCCAUUGUCGUCGGGGUCUGAGAGGAAGGCCUGACGGCGGUUCUUUUCUUUAAAGGCAGAAACAGAACAUUGUUUCUCCCGGCUUUGAUUUAAUGGCCAAAAACAGUUAUAGGAAACUGUUCAGCAGAUGUUUUAUGAAACUCAGAAAAAAACUGGGUCUUUGAGGGGCUAUUUUUAGACUAAUGCUUCCUACCAUUGGGGUUUGGGUCUCACAAAAGGAACAAAAACGGGAGACAGAGGGGAGGGGAGAGAGAGGUGGAGGAAGCUUGGAACAUUUAGAGGAUCACAUUUUAUUUUUUCUUCUGUUUUCACCAUGAAUUACAUGUACCUGGGAGCCGAUGGAGGAUGCGAUGCAGAGGUGGCUCCAGGAAGGAGGGGUGCAUUUUAGAGUUUCCUUUCUAAAAUGAAGGUUUACUGGCAUCCAGCGCUGUUUCAUUCAGGAGGCGCGGAAUAAACGUUUCUCGAGUGAAAGGACUGAUGGAGGAUACAGGGCGUGAACAGGGGACGGUGUAAAAGCUUCGGAUGCCUGGGCCCAGGGGAGGCCCCCUGUGAGGGACAGAGCACAGAAGAGGGAGAUGGGGAAACUAAAAGCAAACUUCUCUUUUCUACUUUUUCUGGGGCCACUUCCAGCUGGAACAAGAGGACAAGUGUGGCCUCCCCAGAUGAAGAUGAACAAAUGACCUGCCAUGUUCUCACUUGUCCUGAGGCCUCUGGCCAGAGUCUCAAAGUCAGGUGAGCAGAACAAAGGCCAAUGGCCUCUCACUUUCUGGAAAGUCCUAGAACUCAGCCCGGGGGGCGGGAAAUGAGGUUCUCCCUUCAUCUGACCCCACGUACAUCACGGUUUCUCUGGUGUCUCAAGACUUUAUCGAGCACUUUCCAGAGAGCACUUUUCACUGGCAGAGAUUUCAGUAAGUUCUGCUAUAUCUGGAAAAAGCAUCACCAUUGUUGGUAUGAGGGCCAGCGGCCACGUCACUGGGCUCUGGGCAGGAGUGUUCGAGUUUCCUGGAAGCUGGACCCGGGCAGAGCUCCCGUUCAUGUUCCAGGACCCUUGGUGAAUGUUUCCAUAUCCUUUCAUUUCCUUAGAGCUAUCUUUUUUCCCCCUGAACACUUAGCGUGUUGUAGUUACUGUGCUAAGGGCACUAGAAAGUGAUCUCACUGAUCUUUUUAAAAGACUUUUAAAAAGCACAUAAUAUAAAAAUUUUUCCUUAUUACUGAAGAACUUUAUCUUCCAUGUCUUCAUACCCCUCAGAACUGAAUUCUAGUCUGAUCCCCGUUUUCCAAAUGAGGAGACCUGAGUGGGGAGAGAGGUGGACGAAAACUCGCCCAGAGUCGCCCAGUGGGCGAAUGCAAUGCAGGAAUUCAGGGUCAGUUUGGCUGCCACCAGAGGCCACGCUCCGAAAGGCUUCCCUGUGGAUCUCAGAUCUGGUUUCCCACUGAGGUCCCCGGGCAGCCUUCUCUCCGUGGAACCUGCCCAUUCCAACCUCUGUGCACAGUCUCUGACCAUCUCGCGAUUUCUAACUCUCCCCAAAGUUCUCUGCCAUUUUCUAGGACACCUUCUGACAUUUCUUAUUCUGACUUUUAAAUUCUGCUGGGAGGGACAGAGACCUUCCCUCCUAAGGUAAAGUGGCCUCAAGUGGAAGACACAACAGAAAGACAUGAGACGUCAGUGGCUCUGAGUGGCGCUUUUCUAGAAAGGAGAAAACAGCUUAUUAGAGCGAGCUGGCCAAGUGUUUUCCCGUGGAGGCAGCUUUUCCCCAGGACAUGGCCAGCCUUCUCUGGUCACCUCCUCCAUACCUGCUGCGAUUGAACCAUUGGUGCAGAACUCAGGGACUAUUUGUCGAGCACGUCUGUACCAGUCCGGCUAUGCUAGGUUACACGGUGGUGACAGGUGCCGAACCUCAGCGCUUCAAGCCCUCCUCCUCGCAGGGACGGAGCAGGAGGAUUCAGACACAGUGUUUCAGGACCCAAGGAAGCAAAGGAGAAGGCUCCGAACUGCAAAAAAUGCCCUGGAUGAUGGGACGUUCAAACAGGAAGAGCAGCCAUACACACUUUGGAGAAAAUACCAAGCACACCAUUGUGGUCUGGAUGAGCUGAUCCCGCUAAGCCCACUUGGUAGCAGGUUUCUCACAAGAGCAUGAGGACCACGCGUGGAGAGUCACCAUCACUUGCGUCAUCAGCUGGGCUCCAAGGACUCUUUCUUCAGCUAAGGGCCUCCGCAGUUCUGACCUCCCCGCAGCAGGCCGGCUGGCUCUCACUCAGCCCCUCCGCACACCUUCUGUUCUUUGGGCAUCUUCUUGCUUACACCGUUCGCCUUGGCUGUCCGGGAAGGAGACACUUCCUUCUGUUGCUUCUGCAACAGUGAUGACUCAGAACAAGCAUCCUUCCCCAGCUCAGAGUCCCCACUACAGCUUGGCCAAGGGCCCUAAAAACACUGAGGUUUUAAUGCUGGGAGGGCUCUGGAGGGACCCACCAGCGCACCACUCUUGUUUCCUUUGCAGAAACUGAGGCCUGGAGAGCUUAAGACACCCCCCGCCCCAGGCUUCCUAGGACUCACUGGGAGAUCUGGGCUAGAAUCCAGGGCUUUGGAAUCACAUUUUACUGUUCUUCGUACUCUGUAUUUAUAGGUGCGUACAUCUGGUUAGACUUUUGAUAAACUUUAUAUUGGCUAGAGGACUAGUACCCCUCAGAAGUGAGGGCAGAGUUAGAACUACCUGAUGAAUAACAGUGAUGACCUUGACCCUCACCUCUCUUCUCUGAAACCACUGCUUCUCCAAAAAUAGACCAACAGCGGAAAGGCAGGAGAGUAUUGUGGUCCAUAAUAUGGGCUGAAGAAUCUGACUAACUUGAAUUUGAAUUCAUAUUUAUUUGUAAUGUGACCUUAGACAAAUUAUUCAUCCUCAUUUGUUUUUCUUUCAACAAAACAGGAAUAAUAAAACAGCCUCCCUGAAAGAUUAUUAAGUGAGGUAACACAUGUCCAAUGUUCAGCUCGGAGAUGAUGCUGGUAAGGAAUGAGUAUGUGCCGAGUGCCAGCUGUUACCGUCACCCGUACGGUUAUCAGCAGGGAAGAUGCUUCCUGAGUUGGAGCUGAGACAUUACUCACCCAGGCUCCCCUACACUCACGAACCCGGAGCCCUCCUGCACUGCUUCCUUCUGAGAAACUGUCACUCCUUUUCACUCAGUCUUCAUUAAUUAAAAUUUUGUUGAGCAUUCAUGUGUUGGUCACAAUCAGAGGCAAACGGGACAACUGAUUUACCCCUUACGGAGCUCAGUGAAUGAGGACCAAUUUCAGAACUUCACAAGCUGACAUAAUUUUCUUUAUUUCUGAUCGGGCGCCCAUCUCAUGGGAGGCGAAAAUCUGCAGCACUCCCAAGGUCUGAUGAGGGUGGUCAGAUCUGUGGCUUCGGCUCCCUGAUCGGGGAUGAGGUCCCAACGGCCUCGUGUGGGAGUGUGAGCUUUGCCCGCUGCAUUGUUAUAACCAGAAUCAUAAUUAACUGAGGUGAGACUAUUUCCUGUUUUUUGAAGCCGUGUUUGCUGUAACCUCGGAUAAAUAAACCCUUAAGCAGCCAUUAGACCAGGAAGCAUUUUUAGGGCCUGUAUCCUGUCCUGGCAGAGAGAUGGGGUUGGAUGAGCUAAUGGGUCUUUCCACGGCGACCUGCUGUGACUACUGCCAUGUUAAUAGCGCAGGAUCAUCAAAACAGCGAGCUGUCCGGUGUGAGAAAGGUGGGACUUUCAUUUCCAUCAGCGCAGGAAAACGAGAUAUCAAGGCAUCCAUGUUUAUUCUGUUCACGUAGAAAUUAACAUUAAAACGGGAGCGAUUUGAGCCCACCUGUUCUAGGAUGUGUAGCUGACUCAACAACCAGUGGGGAUAAGUAACAAAAACAAAUAAAACAUAAUAAUACUAUAAAAAUACACCCCUUGGAACUCUAUUUCAGGUCUGCAGGAAAACACAUAGUUUAAAGAACACCUCCUUUUUUUUUUUUUUUUUUUUUUUUUUUUUUUU